rnacentral:rRNA from 1 species
CAGUAGCCGCGGGAAUACGUAGGGUGCAAGCGUUAAUCGGAAUUACUGGGCGUAAAGCGUGCGCAGGCGGUUUGUUAAGACAGAUGUGAAAUCCCCGGGCUCAACCUGGGAACUGCAUUUGUGACUGGCAAGCUAGAGUGUGGCAGAGGGUGGUGGAAUUCCGCGUGUAGCAGUGAAAUGCGUAGAUAUGCGGAGGAACACCGAUGGCGAAGGCAGCCACCUGGGCUAACACUGACGCUCAUGCACGAAAGCGUGGGGAGCAAACAGGAUUAGAUACCCGCGUAGUCCCUGUCUCUUAUAC